UCGCAGAACAUGAAUGUGCUUACUAAGGGGACAGCUGAUUGAGAAGACUUAAAUAAUCAGGGGUGGCCAGCCGGCGGGGCCCAACCUCCUGCUCGGGACUCCCUGAAUUCAGAAGGGGAACUUCGCCAGCCAAUAUUUUGGUAACCACAGCAUCGAUUAUAAUCUACAGUUAAACCCAUGAUGGAAAUCCAUGGAAUGACCCUUACGGUGUAUUACCCGAUAAAUGUGACGUUGUGGUUGCUUAUACAGAGCAGCUGGUAACAGUAUAGAGAAGAAGAGUCAACAAAAGUGUAUGCCUUCUUUUUUAGGUCCGGCCACGGGUUCACACCUUGUACAUUUUCUGCAGAAAUUCUAUGGGGAAAGGCUGCAGCAGUUACAGUAGCAAAAAAGUGGACGUAAAAAAAAAAAAUCUGAUUUAUUACAGAUUGUCCCGAUUGACUUCAUUUGGGAAAUGUAAAACUACAAUAAAUAAAUGCAGUGUUGUGGAUUUGACUACAGAAAUGCUUCUUCUUCUAUUUUAUUUGCAUAAUUUAUUGCACAAGAAUGAGCAGCUUAAAAUUCAAACCACAAUCGGCAGA